rnacentral:lncRNA from 1 species
CAAAGGCGUACAGUACUUCCAACCGGCUGCUAACUGGGUGGGAAUUUGCAAUCUUUGUUUCCCCCUCCUCCAACCUCCCUAGCUGCAGGCAGAUGUGAUUUUGAACUCUCUCUCUCCCCCUCUUUCUUUACUUUCCCCUCCUCUCUCCUGUACAGAGAGGGAUUUCUUUUUCUACUUCUCUCCCUCGAUUCCAAGACUCAAGAAGUCUUUUUCUACCUUGGGAGAAGCAAGAUUAGGAACUCAUGCUGGAAUCUAGUCUCUGGGCCUUCAGGACCUCUGUUCUUGAAGAGCAGUUAAGGGUUUGAGGAGAAUCAAGAAGAACAAAGGAGGAAGAAGCUCCACGAUGUUCUAGAAGUAAUGGAGGAGAACAGCUUGGCAAAAUUUAUGAGCUGUCUUCUGUGGAGAGCAGAGACCCAGAGGGUCUGGGUUUGAAUCCUGACUCUCCUAGUCACACCAGAUUGUGUGACCCUGGGCAAGUCACUUCCCUUCUAGAGGAUUUCCACUUCCCCACGUGGCAAAUGAAGAAGUUGCACAAGCCGAUCUUGAAGGGUUCCUUUUCUCUCUAAACACUGUAGAUCCCAUGAAUGCUUUGGAAGCCUUACCUUCAAACCUGAUCUCUUCAUCCUGGGACAUCUCUUGCUAAUUGUUUAUGUCAGUGUUAGCCCUGAAUGGUUAUUUGUGAUGUGUGGAAGAGCGAGGACAAGGAGUCUGGGUCAUUUUGAGCAGUUAUUAUUGUUCUAUUUGGUAUUGUAAGUGGUCAUUCCAUGAUUUGCUUCAUUACAGACAGUGCAUUUAGUUAAGCGUGUGGAUUUAAUGGGGGUCCAUUCUCAGCAGGCCAGGAGGAGCUCAGCUAUAGAAUGAUUACAGAUGCAAACGUUGGGGGAGGGGGAUAAGGAACACAGCAGGAGACACAGGGACUCAGGGUUAGACUUGGGGGUGGGGAGGCUGUUGGGUCCAUUCUCCUACCCUUUCCUGAGAUGAUGAGCGAGGGAUCCCAAGGAAGCUGACUAAUGUCAGGGAGGCCAGGACCCUCAUUACUGAGACCAGUGGCACAUUUCUUCUCUUUCCCUUUGGGGGAUAUUCCUUGCAUGUUCUAAAGCCCGUCCAGUAGAGACACAAUCUUUCCUGGAGGCCCAUGGGAGGGCUUUGUGAAGCCACUAUAUCCACCUCAUAGAGAACUAAAAAUGACCACAAUUAAAGCUGAAAGAUGACAAAGCACCUAAGGUCAAAAUCACCAGCUCUCCCUCCCCAUGUAUUUUUUUUAAAAGAUACAUUGAAGGAAGCAGGUCUCCAGGGAUGAUUUGGUUACCCAAAAAAAUAAAAAAAAGUUUUAGAAAACCGAA